CAGGGUUUUAACCAAAUUUUGCUCACUAACCCCGGAUAAGCUGCUUUUUAAAAGUUAUUUCUGUGAGCUGAGGCUGGAUUUUGUUUUAUUCAAAGCGACUUCAGUCUGUCACAAGACAGUCUCAUAAAAUCUGUAUCUUGGCUUAAGCUGGGAAGAAAUGAGCCAAUCCAUCAGCCCAGGAAUGUGGCUGUUUGACCACUUCCUAAGGCAACCGGGAAGGGAUGCAAUCUAUUCAAUUUAUGGGGCCGGGUGGCAGUGAAUGAUGCACUCCUGAAGGCACAGCAAAUGGAAAUCCCUGUGAACUUUUGCAGUGAUAAAGUUCAAAAUCUGAAUAAAAGAACCUCUGGGAGGGCAACAAGGAGGGGAUGAGAGGGCGGGAGUGGAAGCCAGCACAUAAGCAUAGCAAGAAAGGAGUCAGGAACCAGGCAAGCUCCCUCUUCAGAAACACCUCCAAAGGAUUCACCAAGGACAGAACUGGGAGUUGGGUCUGGAAAUGGGACCUUCGCAAAGUCUUUUCCCCCUCAUCUGGAUUCUAAAAAUGAACCUUCAUUUAAUCGUUAAAAUCCCUCUUUGCAAAUGCAAUUUUGAUGCCAUUGAUGAGAGAUCUGGGAUUACAAUUCCUGACCAUGUCAACAGACAUUUGGGGAAGGAAAUAGAGGAAGAAUAAUUCUGAAGUCUCUCCAAAAACCGAAGGAGAAAAAAAAGGUGUGCAAGAGCUCGGGACAGCCUGAUCCAUUCCGCUGGACCACUGCAACUUGAGAGUAUGACUCCUUCCUCAUUCGUCUUUGGUGAACUUCAUAGGAUAAAACCCAGAGCCUUCCCCAAAAGUCCGACUCAGUGAGGUCCCAAAGGAUCGGAGCUCAGCCUUAUCUAAACUUGACAGCUUCCUAAACCUUCAGAAGAUGCUUUCUCCUGGAGGGCCAGCCACACUACAAGGCCUCGGUGUCCAGGAAUCCAGCCUCAUCGAAUCCUGUUAGGUAAUGAAACCAUUAAGCCCCUUGGCCAUUUCUCAUCAAGGCUGAUAAAGCUUUGAAAAAACGCUGUAGGCUCCCCCUAGGUCAAACU